UACGUAGGUGGCAAGCGUUGUCCGGAAUUAUUGGGCGUAAAGCGCGCGCAGGCGGUCCUUUAAGUCUGAUGUGAAAGCCCACGGCUCAACCGUGGAGGGUCAUUGGAAACUGGGGGACUUGAGUGCAGGAGAGAAGAGUGGAAUUCCACGUGUAGCGGUGAAAUGCGUAGAGAUGUGGAGGAACACCAGUGGCGAAGGCGACUCUUUGGCCUGUAACUGACGCUGAGGCGCGAAAGCGUGGGGAG
rnacentral:rRNA from 1 species